rnacentral:rRNA from 1 species
GGCGAACCCGUGCGAACGUUAUUCGGAAUCAUUGGGCUUAAAGCGCGUGUAGGCGGAUGGGAACGUCGGUCGCUGAAAUACCCCGGCUUAACCGGGAACGUGCAUCGAAACGACCCGUCUCGAGGGGCGAUAGGGGAGCUGGAACUUCCGGUGGAGCGGUGAAAUGCGUUGAGAUCGGAAGGAACGCCCGUGGCGAAAGCGAGCUCCUGGAUGUCUUCUGACGCUGAGACGCGAAAGCUAGGGUAGCGAACGGGAUUAGAACC